rnacentral:rRNA from 1 species
UACGUAGGGUGCGAGCGUUAAUCGGAAUUACUGGGCGUAAAGGGUGCGCAGGCGGUUAUAUAAGACAGAUGUGAAAUCCCCGGGCUCAACCUGGGAACUGCGUUUGUGACUGUAUGACUAGAGUACGGUAGAGAGGGGUGGAAUUCCUGGUGUAGCAGUGAAAUGCGUAGAUAUCAGGAGGAACAUCGAUGGCGAAGGCAGCCCCUUGACCUGUACUGACGCUCAUGCACGAAAGCGUGGGGAGCAAACAGG